rnacentral:rRNA from 1 species
GUAUAAGCAUCUAUACCGUGAAACUGCGAAUGGCUCAUUAAAUCAGUUAUCGUUUAUUUGAUAGUACCUUACUACUUGGAUAACCGUGGUAAUUCUAGAGCUAAUACAUGCUAAAAACCUCGACUUCGGGAGGGGUGUAUUUAUUAGAUAAAAAACCAAUGCCCUCCGGGGCUCCUUGGUGAUUCAUAAUAACUUAACGAAUCGCAUGGCCUUGUGCCGGCGAUGGUUCAUUCAAAUUUCUGCCCUAUCAACUUUCGAUGGUAGGAUAGUGGCCUACCAUGGUUUCAACGGGUAACGGGGAAUUAGGGUUCUAUUCCGGAGAGGGAGCCUGAGAAACGGCUACCACAUCCAAGGAAGGCAGCAGGCGCGCAAAUUACCCAAUCCCGACACGGGGAGGUAGUGACAAUAAAUACUGAUACAGGGCUCUUUUGGGUCUUGUAAUUGGAAUGAGUACAAUUUAAAUCCCUUAACGAGGAACAAUUGGAGGGCAAGUCUGGUGCCAGCAGCCGCGGUAAUUCCAGCUCCAAUAGCGUAUAUUAAAGUUGUUGCAGUUAAAAAGCUCGUAGUUGAACCUUGGGCCUGGCUGGCCGGUCCGCCUCACCGCGUGCACUGGUCCGGCCGGGCCUUUCCUUCUGGGGAGCCGCAUGCCCUUCACUGGGUGUGCCGGGGAACCAGGACUUUUACUUUGAAAAAAUUAGAGUGUUCAAAGCAGGCCUAUGCUCGAAUACAUUAGCAUGGAAUAAUAAAACAGGACGAGCAGUUCUAUUUUGUUGGUUUCUAGGACCGCCGUAAUGAUUAAUAGGGAUAGUCGGGGGCAUCAGUAUUCCGUUGUCAGAGGUGAAUUCAAUUUUCAGAGGUGAAAUUCUUGGAUUUAUUGAAGACU